UUAACCUCGGAUUAAGUAAGAAUACCCGCUAAAUUUAAGUAUAUUAAUAAGCGGAGGAAAAGAAACUAAUAGGGAUUACCUUAGUAACGGUAAGUAAAGCGGCAAUAGCUUAAAUUUAAAAUCUAGCCCCAAGCCCGAGUUAUAAUUUAUAGAGGAUACUUUUAGCGCGGUGCCUUUUAAGUUCUCUAGAACGGGACGCUAUAGAGGGUAAAAGCCCCGUAUGGUUAGAUACUAAGCCUUUAUAAAGCUCCUUUAACGAGUUAAGUAGUUUAGGAAUGCUGCUCUAAAUAGGAGGUAUAUUUUUUCUAAAACUAAAUAUUAGCUAGAGACCGAUAGCGUAUAAGUAGAGUAAUUAAAAAAUAAAAAGUACUUUAGAAAGAGGGUUAAAUAGUAUAUAAAAUUAUUAAAAAGGAAGCGCUUAUGACUAGACUUAUGUUUAGUAAAUUACCUAGCUCUCGUAGCUAGGGCACUUUGCUAGUAUAGGCUAGUAUUAGCUUACCGUUAGGGAUAAAAGCUUUAAAAACGUAGCUCCUCUCGGGGAGUAUUAUAGCUUAUUAUAUAAUACCCUUUAGCGGGCUAAAGUACGCGCUCCGUAAGGAUACUAGCAUAAUAGUUAUUAGCGACCCAUUUUAAAAUACGGACUAAGGAGUUAACCUUAUAUACGAGUAUUUAGGUAUUAAACCCCUAUACGUAAUAAAAGUAAACGUAAGUAAGAGCUUUAGCAUAUUAUUGACCAAUCCUAAUAUUCUCAGAUAGAUUUAAAUAAGAGUAUAUAGGGUUAGACCCGAAAGAAAGUAAACUAUGCGUAUAUAGGGUAAAGCUAGAGGAAACUCUAAUAGAGGCUCGUAGUAGUUCUAACGUACAAAUCAAUCGUUAAAUAUGCAUAUAGGGGCAAAAAACUAAUCGAACCUUUUAGUAACUAGUUUCUACCGAAGUUUCCCUUAGGAUAGUAGUAUUAAGCUUAGUUUUAUAAGGUAAAGCGAAUAAUUAGGGACUCGGGGGCUAUUUUUUGCCUUUAUCUAUUCUCAAACUUUAAAUAUAUAAGAAGCCCUCGUUACUUAGUUAAACGUGGGCAUUCGAAUAUAUUAAUACUAGUGGGCUAUUUUUAAUAAGUAGAACUAGCAAUACGAGAUAAACCGAACGCGAGGUUAAGGUACUAGAGUAGUCGCUUAUUAAAUACUAUAAAAAGUAUUAGUAUAUCUUAACAGCAGGACAGUAACUAUAGAAAUCGGAAUCUACUAAGGACUAUAUAACAACUUACCUACCGAAUAUACUAGCCCUAAAAAUAAAUAGCGCUUAAGUAACUUACCUAUACCUCGCCCUUAAUAUAAAAACGAUGCGCUAAAGAGUAAGCGAACGUAGAGGUUAAUAACAAAGCCUAGGGCAUAAGCCUAGGUAGAACGGCCUCUAGUACAGAUCUUAGUAAUAAUAAUAAAUACUUUAAUAAGAACUUAAAGGACCGAAGUAGGGAAAGGUUCUAUAUAAAUAGCAGUUAGAUAUAGGUUAAUCGAUCCUAAACUAUAAAGAAGUUCUAUUUUAAAGGGGCACUUAUGCCCCGUAUAGUAAAAGGGAAGCUAGUUAAUAUUCUAGUACCUAGAUAUAGGUUUUGCGCGGCAACGUAACUAAACGCAGAGAUAACGGCGGGGGCCCCGGGUAGAGUUCUCUUUUUUUUUUAACGGUCUAUUACCCUAAAAUCGGUUUAUCUAGAGCUAAGGUUUAAUAGCUAAAAGAGCCUAGCACUUCUAUUAGGUCUAGUGCGCUCUCGACGUCCUUUAAAAAUCCGUAAGAAAGAAUAAUUCUUACGCUAAGUCGUACUUAUAACUAUAGCAGGUCUUUAAAAUAAAUAGCCUCUAGUUAAUAAAAUAAUAUAAAUAAGAGAAGUCGGUAAAAUAGAUCUAUAACUUUAAGAUAAAGAUUAGCUCUAAGGGUUAAGUACGUUAGGCUUUGGGCGGACGGCUUAGGAGCAGGUCGCUACUAGCUAGGUAACCGGCCGGAGGCUUCUAGCACUCGGGUUUUAACGCCCUUAGUAAGCUUCGGCCGUUUAGCGUAUGGUUAAUAACUAACUUAGAACUAAUACGGAUAAAGGGAAUCUAACUAUCUAAUUAAAAUAUAGUAUUAUAAUAGCUAAAAAGUAGUAUUAACGCAAUAUAAUUUCUACCUAGUGCUUUAAAUAUUAAAAUAAAAGAAUUUAACUAAGCGCGGGUAAACGGCGGGAGUAACUAUAACUCUUUUAAAGUAGCUAAAUGCCUCGUUAUCUAAUUAGUAACGCGUAUAAAUAGAUUAACGAGAUUCUUACUAUCCCUAUUUACUAUUUAGCGAAACUAUAGCUAAAGGAACGGGCUUAGUAGAAUUAGCGGGGAAAGAAGACCUUGUUAAGCUUAACUCUAGUUUAAUAUUAUAAAAAGAUAUAGGAGGUAUAAGAUAGGUAGGAGCUUCGGCGCCGGUGAAAUACUACUAUUCUUAUUAUUUUUUUACUUAUUUAAUAAAGCGGGGCUGGAUUUACGUCUAAUUUCUAGUUUUAAGGUCCUUCGCGGGCCGACCCGGGUUAAAGAUAUUAUUAGGUAGGGAGUUUAGCUAGGGCGGCAUAUUUAUUAAACUAUAACGCAGGUAUCCUAAGGGGGGCUUAUAGAAAAUAAAAAUCUCUAGUAAAAUAAAAAGGUAAAAGUCCCCUUAAUUUUAAUUUUUAAUAUAAAUAUAAACUAUAAAAGUAUAGCCUAUUAAUCUUUUAAUCCCUCGAAAUUUAAGGCUAGAGGUACUAAAAAAGUUAUUAUAGGGAUAACUAGCUUAUAGCGGCUAAGCGUUUAUAGCGACGUCGCUUUUUAAUCUUUUGAUAUCGGCUCUUUUUAUUAUACCAAAGUAGAAUUCGGUAAGCGUUAGAUUAUUUACCUAUUAAUAGGGAACGUGAGCUAGGUUUAGACCGUCGUAAGAUAGGUUAGUUUUACUUUAUUAAUAACUUCGUCGUAAUAAUAAUUAAGCUUAGUACGAGAGGAACCGCUUAUUUAAAUAAUUAGUUUUUGUAGCUAUUCGACUGGGUAGUGCCGCGAUAUUACUAUUUAUUAGAUAAUAGCUAAACGCCUCUAAGUUAAAAUCUAUAUUAAAACGCGACGAUACCUCCCGUAUGUAUAAAUAAAUAUGAAUAAGCUCUGGCUUAGCGUUUUAAUAAGCGAUUCCUCUACUAUUCUUAAAGCGAGUAGUAGUAUUUUGCGAAUUAUAAUUUUAGUACGAGCGGGGUUAAAUCUUUUAUAAACGACUUAGAUAUGUAAAAGGGUCUUAUAAAUAGUAGAAUAGCCUUAUUAUUACGAUUUAUUAAGAGUAAGCCCUUUUUUACUUCGAUUUCUUU
rnacentral:rRNA from 1 species